GAGCAGCACGCCGCGUGGAGGAUGACACUUUUCGGAGCGUAAACUCCUUUUGUUAGGGAAGAAUAAUGACGGUACCUAACGAAUAAGCACCGGCUAACUCCGUGCCAGCAGCCGCGGUAAUACGGAGGGUGCAAGCGUUACUCGGAAUCACUGGGCGUAAAGGACGCGUAGGCGGAUUAUCAAGUCUCUUGUGAAAUCCUAUGGCUUAACCAUAGAACUGCUUGGGAAACUGAUAAUCUAGAGUGAGGGAGAGGCAGAUGGAAUUGGUGGUGUAGGGGUAAAAUCCGUAGAGAUCACCAGGAAUACCCAUUGCGAAGGCGAUCUGCUGGAACUCAACUGACGCUAAUGCGUGAAAGCGUGGGGAGCAAACA
rnacentral:rRNA from 1 species